rnacentral:rRNA from 1 species
UACGUAGGGUGCAAGCGUUGUCCGGAAUUAUUGGGCGUAAAGAGCUCGUAGGCGGUUCGUCGCGUCGGCUGUGAAAACCUAAGGCUCAACCUUGGGCUUGCAGUGGGUACGGGCAGACUAGAGUGCGGUAGGGGUGACUGGAAUUCCUGGUGUAGCGGUGGAAUGCGCAGAGUAUCAGGAGGAACACCGAUGGCGAAAGGCAGGUCACUGGGCCGCAACUGACGCUGGAG